AGAGUUUGAUCCUGGCUCAGGACGAACGCUGGCGGCGUGCCUAAUACAUGCAAGUAGAACGCUGAGGAUUGGUGCUUGCACUAAUCCAAAGAGUUGCGAACGGGUGAGUAACGCGUAGGUAACCUACCUCAUAGCGGGGGAUAACUAUUGGAAACGAUAGCUAAUACCGCAUGAUACUAGAGUACACAUGUACUUAAGUUAAAAGGAGCAAAAGCUUCACUAUGAGAUGGACCUGCGUUGUAUUAGCUAGUUGGUGAGGUAACGGCUCACCAAGGCGACGAUACAUAGCCGACCUGAGAGGGUGAUCGGCCACACUGGGACUGAGACACGGCCCAGACUCCUACGGGAGGCAGCAGUAGGGAAUCUUCGGCAAUGGACGGAAGUCUGACCGAGCAACGCCGCGUGAGUGAAGAAGGUUUUCGGAUCGUAAAGCUCUGUUGUUAGAGAAGAACGGUAAUGGGAGUGGAAAAUCCAUUACGUGACGGUAACUAACCAGAAAGGGACGGCUAACUACGUGCCAGCAGCCGCGGUAA
rnacentral:rRNA from 1 species